rnacentral:rRNA from 1 species
UGAGGAAUAUUGGUCAAUGGGCGGGAGCCUGAACCAGCCAAGCCGCGUGAGGGAGGAAGGCCCUAUGGGUCGUAAACCUCUUUUGUCAGGGAACAAAAGCGAGUAUGUAUACUAGUCUGAGUGUACCUGAAGAAAAAGCAUCGGCUAACUCCGUGCCAGCAGCCGCGGUAAUACGGAGGAUGCGAGCGUUAUCCGGAUUUAUUGGGUUUAAAGGGUGCGUAGGCGGCGGUGCAAGUCAGCGGUAAAAGCCCGGGGGCUCAACCCCGGCGAGCCGUUGAAACUGCAGUGCUAGAGAAGGCGAGAGGUACGCGGAAUGCGCAGUGUAGCGGUGAAAUGCUUAGAUAUUGCGCAGAACUCCGAUUGCGAAGGCAGCGUACUGGCGCCUGACUGACGCUGAGGCACGAAAGCGUGGGGAUCGAACAGGAUUCAGAUACC